rnacentral:rRNA from 1 species
UACAGAGGGUGCAAGCGUUGAUCGGAAUUACUGGGCGUAAAGCGCGCGUAGGCGGUUUGUUAAGGUGAAUGUGAAAUCCCCGGGCUCAACCUGGGAACUGCAUCCAAAACUGGCAAGCUAGAGUAUGGUAGAGGGUGGUGGAAUUUCGUGUGUAGCGGUGAAAUGCGUAGAUAUAGGAAGGAACACCAGUGGCGAAGGCGACCACCUGGACUGAUACUGACACUGAGGUGCGAAAGCGUGGGGAGCAAACAGG